GUCCAUGUAGCUUAGCCAAAGCAUAGCACUGAAGAUGCUAAGACGACACCGAAUA
rnacentral:tRNA from 1 species